rfam:Myotis brandtii contig307045, whole genome shotgun sequence.
GUCAGUUUGGCUCAGUGGGUAGAGCAUUGGCCUGCAGACUAAAGGGUCCUGGGUUCGAUUCCCGGCACAUGCU